GUGCUGGUAUUGGCAGCACAUAUUCUAAAAUUGGAUACAGAGAAGAUUAGCAUGGUCCCUGCACAAGAAUGACAUGCAAAUUCAUAAAAAACAUUCCAUAUUUUA
ensembl:snRNA U6 U6 spliceosomal RNA